rnacentral:ncRNA from 1 species
UCGCUGAGCGGAUGCAGGAUUUCCGGAUGAGCCGACAGGACGUCGGCGAAAGUCAGGCCGCGCCAGGGACGGCGCGUCCUGGCGGUCCGGCAGAAAUCCUGAAGCAGCGAAGGCA